AAUUCUAUAGUCAAGGGUCAAUUACAAGGACAAAACAGUCUUUUGCAACCAUUCCAAGGCAAUAAAAAAGAGACAAAGAGAAGCCUCACCAUCAGCAAGAAUACCCCAGUUAACCACCCUGCUUUAAACUAACGAAGUUUUCUUUGAUUUAAAACAGGGGCAAAGACAAUAUUUGUGUCAGGAAAUACCUGAUAAAGAAUUAAAAAAGUCAGGCGUCCACCUGGAGCAUGAGGAUGAGAAAAGAAGAAAUCAGGCGUCCACCUGGAGAAUGAGGAUGAGAAAAGAAGAAAUCAGGCAUCCACCUGGAGAAUGAGGAUGAGAAAAGAAGAAAUCAGGCGUCCACCUGGAGAACGAGGAUGAAGAAUUAAAGAAGUCAGGCGUCCACCUGGAGAAUGAGGAUGAAGAAUUGAAGAAGUCAGGCGUCCACCUGGAGAACGAGGAUGAAGAAUUAAAGAAAUCAGGCGUCCACCUGGAGAAUGAAGAUGACAAUUAAAGAAGUCAGGCGUCCACCUGGAGAAUGAGGAUGAGAAUUGAAGAAGUCAGGCGUCCACCUGGAGAAUGAGGAUAAGAAUUAAAGAAGUCAGGCGUCCACCUGGAGAAUGAGGAUGAAAAAAAGAAGAAAUCAGGCGUCCACCUGGAGAAUGAGGAUAAGAAUUAAAGAAGUCAGGCGUCCACCUGGAGAAUGAGGAUGAGAAUUAAAGAAGUCAGGCGUCCACCUGGAGAAUGAGGAUGAGAAAA
rnacentral:lncRNA from 1 species